GACGAACGCUGGCGGCGUGCUUAACACAUGCAAGUCGAACGAUGAAGCUAGAGCUUGCUCUGGUGAAUCAGUGGCGAACGGGUGAGUAACACGUGAGUAACCUGCCCGAACUCUGGGAUAACUGCUGGAAACGGUAGCUAAUACUGGAUACGACCUACGAAGGCAUCUUCUGUAGGUGGAAAGAAUUUCGGUUCGGGAUGGACUCGCGGCCUAUCAGCUUGUUGGUGAGGUAAUGGCUCACCAAGGCGACGACGGGUAGCCGGCCUGAGAGGGUGACCGGCCACACUGGGACUGAGGCACGGCCCAGACUCCUACGGGAGGCAGCAGUGGGGAAUAUUGCACAAUGGGCGCAAGCCUGAUGCAGCAACGCCGCGUGAGGGAUGACGGCCUUCGGGUUGUAAACCUCUUUUAGUAGGGAAGAAGCGAAAGUGACGGUACCUGCAGAAAAAGCACCGGCUAACUACGUGCCAGCCGCCGCAGUAA
rnacentral:rRNA from 1 species